GAUGAACGCUGGCGGCGUGCCUAAUACAUGCAAGUCGAGCGAACGGACGAGAAGCUUGCUUCUCUGAUGUUAGCGGCGGACGGGUGAGUAACACGUGGAUAACCUACAUAUAAGACUGGGAUAACUUAGGGAAACCGGAGCUAAUACCGGAUAAUAUUUUGAACCGCAUGGUUCAAAAGUGAAAGACGGUCUUGCUGUCACUUAUAGAUGUAUCCGCGCUGCAUUAGCUAGUUGGUAAGGUAACGGCCUACCAAGGCAACGAUGCAUAGCCGACCUGAGAGGGUGAUCAGCCACACUGGAACUGAGACACGGUCCAGACUCCUACGGGAGGCAGCAGUAGGGAAUCUUCCGCAAUGGGCGAAAGCCUGACGGAGCAACGCCGCGUGAGUGAUGAAGGUCUUCGGAUCGUAAAACUCUGUUAUUAGGGAAGAACAUAUGUGUAAGUAACUGUGCACAUCUUGACGGUACCUACUCAGAAAGCCACGGCUAACUACGUG
rnacentral:rRNA from 1 species